rnacentral:rRNA from 1 species
UACGGAGGAUGCGAGCGUUAUCCGGAUUUAUUGGGUUUAAAGGGUGCGUGGGCGGGAUGCCAAGUCAGCGGUAAAAAUGCGGUGCUCAACGCCGUCGAGCCGUUGAAACUGGCGUUCUUGAGUGGGCGAGAAGUAUGCGGAAUGCGUGGUGUAGCGGUGAAAUGCAUAGAUAUCACGCAGAACUCCGAUUGCGAAGGCAGCAUACCGGCGCCCUACUGACGCUGAGGCACGAAAGCGUGGGUAUCGAACAGG